GCAUGGCUACUGAACAUGGAACAUGGCUCUUUAAAUAAUGUCAUUUCCCUCUUGACUGUAAUGUAUAUUAUGUGGGAAACCAUAAACUACAACCUUACAAUCUAUGAGGAGGAGUUCAUGCAAACUCUGAGCUCUUCCUUCUACAUUUACCUCUCUGACUAUAAUCACGCACUGCACCCAAAGACUUCCACCAUGACUGUUAUAACCAGCCUGAUUCUGAUUACCGUGUUCUUAAGAAGUAUUGAAUGUCAGACACUGACUGAGUCUGAACCAGCAGUUAAAAAGCCUGGAGAAUCCCACAAACUGACCUGUACAGCCUCUGGGUUCACAUUCAGCAGCUACUAUAUGAGCUGGAUCAGACAGGCUCCUGGGAAGGGACUGGAGUGGGUGGCUGCGAUCAGUAAUGGUGGUAGCAGCACAUGGUAUGCCAGUUCUCUAAAGGAAAGAUUCACCAUCUCCAGAGACAACAGCAAGAACCAGCUGUAUUUACAGAUGAACAGGCUGACAGCUGAAGACACUGCUGUGUAUUACUGUGCCAGAGACCCACAGUGAGAGAGAAUGAGGGGAGAGCCGCACAAAAACCUCUUCCCCUUUAUCACACAGAGCUACAGCACAGAGCCCCGGAAUGAACUCUGCU